UACGGGGGGGGCGAGCGUUGUUCGGAAUUACUGGGCGUAAAGGGCGCGUAGGCGGUUGGAUAAGUCAGCUGUGAAAACCACGAGCUCAACUUGUGGCCUGCAGUUGAGACUGUCUGGCUAGAGUGUGGGAGAGGGAAGUGGAAUUCCUGGUGUAGCGGUGAAAUGCGUAGAUAUCAGGAGGAACACCAGUGGCGAAGGCGGCUACCUGGCCCACUCUUGACGCUGAGGCGCGAAAGCUAGGGGAGCAAACGGG
rnacentral:rRNA from 1 species